rnacentral:ncRNA from 1 species
GAGAGCCGGAUACAUCGAGAGGUGUAUGUCCGGUUCGGAAGGGGGUUCUGCUGAAACCGCUGGGGUAACCCAGUAUGGCGCGGCGGUGCCUACCUUAU